UAGUGACGGCGUGCCUUUUGCAUAAUGAACCUACGAGUUACCAUCACCAGCAAGGUUAAGUAUUUAAGAUACGUAAGCCGCAGUGAAAGCGAGCCUGAACAGGGCGUCAAGUUGGUGGGGGUAGACGCGAAACCGAGUGAUCUACACAUGUCCAGGAUGAAGUCCCGGUAACACGGGAUGGAGGUCCGCACCGAUAAGCGUUGAAAAGCUUCCGGAUGAGGUGUGUGUAGGAGUGAAAGGCCAAUCAAACUCGGAGAUAGCUCGUACUCCCCGAAAGGCAUUUAGGUGCCGCGUCGGAUGGUCACCGUGAGAGGUAGAGCGACCGAUAGGUCAAGAGGGCUUCACCGCCUAUCGAGACCUGACGAACUCCGAAUGCUCACGGUCUGCAGUCCGGCAGUAAGGGGGCGGGUGCUAAGGUCCGUCCCCGAGAGGAGAAGAAUCCAGACCGCCGUCUAAGGUCCCGGAAUCCUGUCUGAGUUAGUCUAACGAAGUCUGGUCUCGAUGACAGCUAGGAUGUUGGCUUGGAAGCAGCCAUUCAUUCAAAGAGUGCGUAACAGCUCACUAGUCGAGAGACCGGGCGUGGAUAAUAAUCGGGUAUAAGACAGGUACCGAAGGCGCGGGAUAGCAUUAAAAAGUAUCGGUAGGGGAGCAUUCCAUACGGGUCGAAGCCAGUGGAUGACUGUUGGUGGACUGUAUGGAAAAGCAAAUGUAGGUAUAAGUAACGAUAAGGGGGAUGAGAUCUCCCCCCGCCGAAAGACUAAGGUUUCCCGGGCGAUGUCAAUCACCCCGGGGUUAGUCGGGUCCUAAGCAUAAGCCGAACGGCGAUGGCGAUGGCUGACACGGUUAAUAUUCCGUGACUUCCAUAUGGGGCGAUGUGGUGACGGAGCAGUGACACUGCCGCGGACUGACGGAACAGUCCGUUGAAGAGUGUAGGUUAUGAGGAGUGCAGGCAAAUCCACACUCCGAGCUGAACCUUGAAAGUACGGCAUCCUCUUCGGAGGAAGCUGAUAGUGCAGGUAAUCAGACUCCCGAGAAAAACCGCUAAGCUUAACUCAUGUGGAACCCGUACCGCAAACGGACACACGUAGUCGGGUAGAAUAUACUAAGGCGUUGAGAGAUUCGCGGUUAAGGAACUAGGCAAACUGACCCUGUAACUUCGGGAUAAAGGGUCCUCCCUUGUGGGAGGCGCAGAGAAUAGGUCCAGGCAACUGUUUAGCAAAAACACAGGGCUGUGCAAACUCGAAGGAUGAAGUAUACAGCCUGACACCUGCCCGGUGCUGGAAGGUUAAGAGGAGAUGUCAGUCGCAAGAUGAAGCAUUGAAUUGAAGCCCCAGUAAACGGCGGCCGUAACUAUAACGG
rnacentral:rRNA from 1 species